GGGCCGGUCCUAAACUUAUAGAGGCCUAAAGCAUUUUUAAAAAUGUGGCCUUAAUAUUUAAGGUACCAAAUUUAUUUAUAUUUAACUUUUAUAUAUUUUUAAUAUUAGUUACAUUGUAUACAAAGUAAAAUGAAUUUUUUUGAAAAUGAUAAGAUCUAAAUUUUUUUUUUCAGAGAAUAUGUUCAAACCUAUAUUUUAACAAAAUAUGAGAGAAAUUAUUUAAUACCUCAUAUGGUUCAAAUUUUUUUUAUUUUAGUUAUAUCUAAUUAGCU
rnacentral:lncRNA from 1 species